GGCCCAUCAACAAGCUCAUCUGUUCUUCUACACCACACAUAUAUUGCCCAUAUAGCUCUUCGCCUUUCAGAGGUCAUUAACAGAGUUCCCAAGUAAAAUGUCUUGGCAUACUCAGCACAAACUUNGUCCAGAACGAUCGUAAGCGUCGCUCAACAAGCUCAAAGUCCCUGGAAGCACAAUAUCUGGUUUGACGUCAGGAUCCUCACUAGACCUCAAUUGCCUUUUAACCAAGGCUGCUUGCUUCAGCACC
rnacentral:misc_RNA from 1 species